CUACGGGGGGCAGCAGUGGGGAAUAUUGGACAAUGGGGGAAACCCUGAUCCAGCAAUGCCGCGUGUGUGAAGAAGGCCUGCGGGUUGUAAAGCACUUUCGGUUGGGAGGACUGCUUCUAGCACUAAUAUUGUUGGAAGUUGACGUUACCUUCAGAAGAAGCACCGGCUAACUCCGUGCCAGCAGCCGCGGUAAUACGGAGGGUGCAAGCGUGAAUCGGAAUUACUGGGCGGAAAGCGCGCGUAGGCGGCUAGAUCAGUCGGGUGUGAAAGCCCCGGGCUUAACCUGGGAACUGCAUCCGAUACUGGCUAGCUUGAGUACAGGAGAGGAGAGUGGAAUUCCACAUGUAGCGGUGAAAUGCGUAGAUAUGUGGAGGAACACCAAUGGCGAAGGCAGCUCUCUGGCCUGAUACUGACGCUGAGGUGCGAAAGCGUGGGGAGCAAACAGGAUUAGAUACCCUCGUAGUC
rnacentral:rRNA from 1 species